UACGUAGGUGGCAAGCGUUGUCCGGAUUUACUGGGCGUAAAGGGCGUGCAGGCGGUUUGUUAAGUCUAGGGUGAAAGCUCCCGGCUCAACUGGGAGAGGUCCUUGGAUACUGGCAGACUUGAGGAGGGUAGAGGAGAGUGGAAUUCCCGGUGUAGUGGUGAUAUGCGUAGAUAUCGGGAGGAACACCAAUUGCGAAGGCAGCUCGCUGGGACGUCACUGACGCUGAGACGCGAAAGCGUGGGGAGCAAACAGG
rnacentral:rRNA from 1 species